UGGGGAAUAUUGCACAAUGGAGGGAACUCUGAUGCAGCGACGCCGCGUGAGUGAUGAAGGAUUUCGUUUCGUAAAACUCUGUUCUAUGGGAAGAAAAGGACUGUACCAUAGGAGAAAGCUCCGGCUAAAUACGUGCCAGCAGCCGCGGUAAUACGUAUGGAGCGAGCGUUGUCCGGAAUUAUUGGGCGUAAAGGGUGCGCAGGCGGCUUUACAAGUUGGAUGUGAAAUAUUGUGGCUCAACCACAAACGUGCAUCCAAAACUGCAAAGCUUGAGUUAAGGAGGGGUAAGUGGAAUUCCUGGUGUAGCGGUGGAAUGCGUAGAUAUCAGGAGGAAUACCGGUGGCGAAGGCGACUUACUGGACUUAAACUGACGCUCAGGCACGAAAGCGUGGGGAGCAAACAGG
rnacentral:rRNA from 1 species